GUCGUCGCGAGGCGAGGUGGGGAGGAAGCCGGAGGCAAAGCUCGGAGCUGACGAACAGGAACCGGAUAUGAGGCCGGUGCGGUGGGGUAACUGGGCCAUGGACCGGGACGCCCGAUAUUCAGACAGACACGCGCGCAGGUAAAUCCGGCGGCGACCGAGUGAAGGAUCAACGUC
rfam:Sphingopyxis bauzanensis strain DSM 22271 NODE_1_length_1336319_cov_55.7391, whole genome shotgun sequence.